rnacentral:lncRNA from 1 species
CUGCAUUCUCAUCCAAACUGAGCAUUCCCACUGUAAUUAGAGUUUAAACUGUUACAUACAUUGAAAUGCUGGAGUCGGGGCAUUGCACAGGUGCUUUCACCUUCUUCACUGUGGUAUCCAGUUUAUUCCUCGUGACAUGAUUUGUACAUUUUUCACAAGUUUUCCAUAGGAGAGUGCCAACUUGUCUACUUGUCUACAGAAGCAGAAUUUUCUUGAACCUGGAGCAGGGAUAUCUGAAUUAUACCACUAACUCUACUAGACGUUUCCAGUCUUACUUUGAGGAAGAAGAGGCAGACAGUUGACCUUGAACUGUCAAUUACACCCAGAAGGAUGAGAGUCAAAUGCUACCAGAUAAGAUGUCUUGGAUCUCCUUUGACUUGCUCCUUUCCAGUCUGUACCUUUGACAAGAUCCUUCAUAUGUACAUCUCUGAAAAGUGCAUCGCUUGCUAACAUCCUAAUGCCUUCUACUAAAAGUUCCACAUAACCCACGUAUCUCCUAAGAUAACUGAAGAAACCAUUAUGAUGGGUCUGUGUCUUUGCUGAAGAGUCUGUCAGGCUUUAACUUUCUGCUUCUGUCCUUUCUAUUGGUAUAGUACCUGAAAUUAGACUUUCAAUAGAAGGGGUGAAAUUUGUCAGAUGAAAACUCUUCUUGAGACAAAAUACUGAUUUGGGUUGACUGAAAUGGCCUUCAAGUUCAUUUAAUUGUUUCAGCUGGAAAAAACGUUUUUAUGUCAAAACAUGUUAGCUGAAAAAAAACACUUUUAUUUUUUGUUUUGGAAAAUAUGCUUCAAUAUUAAAUGUAUCUAAAUUUAAUUUUACUAAAGACUGUGAAAGAAUAACUUGUAUUUCUUCAGUAUAAACUAUUCCACUUAAGCAAUUUCAAUGACUUUUUGUUUUCAAUAUCAAAACCAAACAGAAAUUAAUUUUGGAUCAAUCUGAAUAUUUUCCCUCUGUGGUUUGCCCAUUAAAAAUAAAUGUACUACAUUUCUCUAAUCGUUAUUUCA